rnacentral:misc_RNA from 1 species
UUUCCGUAGGUGAACCUGCGGAAGGAUCAUUAUUGGAUUUUGAAACUUCAGGCUGCUGCUGGCUCUCCUCGGAGGGCAUGUGCACGCUUGUUGUCCAUUAUUCUCCCACUGUGCACAAAUUGUAGACCUUUCAGUAGGCCUAUGUUGUUUUUCACAAUCUCUGAAUGUAAUAGAAUGGUUUUGAAUCUUGGGAAAUACAAUACAACUUUCAGCAACGGAUCUCUUGGCUCUC